rnacentral:tRNA from 1 species
AGAGAGAUGGCUUAGUGGUGAAAGCAAUUAGCUUCCAAUAAAUAGAUCGCUAGUUUGAACUUUGUCCUACCUA